rnacentral:rRNA from 1 species
AACAAACGCUGGCGGCGUGCCUAAUACAUGCAAAUCGAACGGGGAAAGCUUUCGGGUGAGUACUAGUGGCGCACGGGUGAGGAACGCGUGGAUAAUCUGCCUUAGAGUGGGGGAUAACUAGUCGAAAGAUUAGCUAAUACCGCAUAAGACCACAAGAACUGCGGUUCAAGGGGUCAAAGGUUUUUCGCUCUAAGAUGAGUCCGCGUAAGAUUAGCUAGUUGGUGAGGUAACGGCUCACCAAGGCGACGAUCUUUAACUGGUCUGAGAGGAUGAUCAGUCACACUGGAACUGAGACACGGUCCAGACUCCUACGGGAGGCAGCAGUAGGGAAUAUUGCACAAUGGAGGAAACUCUGAUGCAGCGACGCCGCGUGAGUGAUGAAGGCCUUCGGGUCGUAAAGCUCUGUCGCAGGGGAAUAACACAAUGAAGGUACCCUGUAAGAAAGGAUCGGCUAACUUCGUGCCAGCAGCCGCGGUAA